AGUAGCUGAAUGCUCCACCAUCUAUCAACCAACUGCACACUGUGGGUCGGAAAUCAAAAUUUCGUCGGUAUACAAUCACACAUGAUCGCAGUUCUCAUACUACCAGGGGGUGGGAAACUCGGCUCAUUUGAAAUUGUGCCGAAAUGUGCCGACUGUGCGAGAGUGAGCGAACGAAUUAAAAUGUCACAUUUGUCUGGUUGCACUGCAAAAACUGGCAACUGUGAUCGUUUCGUGACAGAUUGUUUUUGUUUUUUUUUUCGAAAACUUCGAGACCCCAAACUGCAGUCUGGACAGCUUUGAAGCUAAAGUUUUUACUUUCCGGAAGCGUUAUUAACAUUUCUGAACAUAUUUUGUCCGCUGGCAGAGGAAUCGAGUGGAUUAUUAUCGCUCAUUUGGAUGCCCACCAGGGCAACGGAUAUUCAAAAAAUCUGAUGGAUGGACUGGCGAUAGAAAGAUGAGGAGUACUUGCGGAAGCUGAUAAUCUUAUUGAGAACGAAACCGCCCCUAUUCGCCAGCACCGAUAUGCUGAAGAAUGACCUGGUGAGGGUACUGGUUAUCACCAGCCAGGUAGUGGUCGAAAGAGACGAGAUCGUUCAUGAGAUGGACCACGCCGUGACGCUGCUGAUGCUUCUCAUCCGAGGUGAUUUUCGAAGCUAAGCGUGGAUCAUUGUGGACUCGAUUAUUAAUUUGCAUGCCAAAGACUUUCUAAAGGUGAGAUAGUAAUAAAGAAGUAGUUGGCUUCAAAUUAAAUUAAAUAAAACAUUUCAUGUUUGUAUCCUUCAAUGUACCUAUCCUAUUAGUGGUUUUUGAUAUCUAACAAUAAAUGUUGUACAUACAAUGUGACUUUCACUAAA